CCUACGGGUGGCAGCAGUAGGGAAUCUUCCACAAUGGGCGAAAGCCUGAUGGAGCAACGCCGCGUGGGUGAAGAAGGUCUUCGGAUCGGAAAACCCUGUUGUUAGAGAAGAAAGUGCGGGAGAGUAACUGGUCACGUGUCGACGGUAUCGAACCAGAAAGCCACGGCUAACUACGUGCCAGCAGCCGCGGUAAUACGUAGGUGGCAAGCGUUCUCCGGAUUUAUUGGGCGUAAAGGGAACGCAGGCGGUCUGUUAAGUCUGAUGUGAAAGCCUUCGGCUUACCCGGAGUAGUGCAUUGGAAACUGGGAGCCUUGAGUGCAGCAGAGGCGAUUCGCACUCCAUGUGUAGCGG
rnacentral:rRNA from 1 species